AUGUUAAUUAUGGUUGAUUAUUACGAACCUUACACGCUAACGGUGCAUCAUUUUUUUUAUUUGUAUUUAUUUACAUUGAUAGGAAGAGCUUAUAUAUGGUUCAUAUAUAUUUACUCCAACUUGAUUAUUUGGGUAAUUAUUUUAUUUUUAGUGAUAGGAACAGCUUUUAUAGGAUAUUUAUUACCUUGAGGACAAAUAUAAUUUUGAGGAGCCACUGUAAUUACUAAUUUAUUGUCAGCUAUUUCUUAUUUAGGUAUAGAUCUAGGUCAAUGAUUAUGAGGUGGAUUUGCUGUUGAUAAUGCUAGUUUAACUCGAUUUUUACAUUUCCUUUUAUUUUACCAUUUAUUGUUCUUGCUAUAACUAUAAUUCAAUUAUUAUUUCAUCAUCAAAUAGGUUCUAAUAACCCUAUUGGAUUAAAUUCUAAUAUUGAUAAAAUUCCUUUUCAUCCAUAUUUGACAUUUAAGGAUAUUGUGGGAUUUAUUGUAUUAAUUAGACCAAAUUUAUUAGGAGAUCCUGAUAAUUUUAUCCCAGCUAAUCCUUUAGUUACACCUGCUCAUAUUCAACCAGAAUGAUAUUUUUUAUUUGCUUAUGCUAUUUUACGAUCAAUCCCAAAUAAAUUAGGAGGAGUUAUUGCAUUAGUUUUAUCAAUCGCAAUUUUAAUACCUUACCUUUUUAUAAUUUAAGAAAAUUAUAUUUUGAUCUAUAUUAGUUAUAGUAAUUUUAUUAACUUGAAUUGGAGCUCGACCAGUUGAAGAACCUUAUGUAUUAAUUGGACAAAUUCUAACUGUUGUAUAUUUCUUAUAUUAUUUAGUAAAUCCAUUAAUCACAAAAUGAUGAGAUAAUUUAUUAAAUUAAAUAGUUAAUGAGCUUAAAUAAGCAUAUGUUUUGAAAACAUAAGAUAGAAUUUAAUUUU